AACGAACGCUGGCGGCAUGCCUAACACAUGCAAGUCGAACGAUCCCUUCGGGGAUAGUGGCGCACGGGUGCGUAACGCGUGGGAACCUGCCCUUAGGUUCGGAAUAACUCAGAGAAAUUUGAGCUAAUACCGGAUAAUGUCUUCGGACCAAAGAUUUAUCGCCUUUGGAUGGGCCCGCGUUGGAUUAGCUAGUUGGUGGGGUAAAGGCCUACCAAGGCGACGAUCCAUAGCUGGUCUGAGAGGAUGAUCAGCCACACUGGGACUGAGACACGGCCCAGACGAAUGGGGGGGGCGGUGGUUGUGAGUAUCAGACAAUCCGAGACCGCAUGACCCAGCAAGGCUGAGUGAGGUAUGAAGUCUUUAGUUUGGUAAUGUUCUUGUACCAGGGAGAAAAAUGACAGCCGCGGGCGAAUACCCCCCGGCGCACUCAGUGCCACGCGCCGCCGUAAUAAUCGGACAGCCCCUGUCUGAAC
rnacentral:rRNA from 1 species